rnacentral:rRNA from 1 species
UACGUAGGGGGCGAGCGUUGUCCGGAUUUAUUGGGCGUAAAGAGCUCGUAGGCGGUUUGGUAAGUCGGGGUGUGAAAUCUCCACGCUCAACGUGGAGGGGCCACUCGAUACUGCCAUGACUCGAGUCCGGUAGAGGAGUGUGGAAUUCCCGGUGUAGCGGUGAAAUGCGCAGAUAUCGGGAGGAACACCCGUAGCGAAGGCGGCACUCUGG